rnacentral:misc_RNA from 1 species
UUUUGCUGCUCAGCUUGCUGGAUUCAUGGCAUCUCUUUUGAUUGAUGUUCCUAGUCAGGCCCAUUGGAUUGUUGAGUUGACAAAAUACAACUUUGAAGGGGCCAUGGGGUAUCUAGUUGCUUCAGUACCUGGAAUUCAUUCUUGUAGAACUUCUUAUGCUUUUCAGUAUGCUUUGGAGUCAAUUGAUGAAAAGUUCCUGGGCUUGGUUGAAGAAUCUGCUGUUGGUUUAAGCCACCUUUUUCGCA